GAUUAUGAGGUUGUGACAUCUGUCACUCCAUUCAUCUCCAGGGUUAAUUCAGCUGGGUAGUUGAGCCAGAGUGAACUGCUUGGCUAGGCACUUGUGCCCACCUUCCCUCACUGCUGCAGGUUUUAUCCUUCCCAGCACUCCCUGAUAGAGGAGAACUGUUUCUGGUCAAGAGUAUACCAGUGGCUGUAGUCCCCAGUGAGAGCAUCCUCUCAACAAGCUCUUAAGGCUCAUUUGUAGGAGAACAUAGGGUAUUCAAACCCAUGACUCUAGGCACGUCCAAGCAGACCAUGUGGACAGUCUGCCCU
rnacentral:snRNA from 1 species